AAGUUACAGAUGCGCUUGCCGAUUGUCAAAGGUCAGAAACCUUUAAAUUAUUAUGAGUUUAGUGUUGCUAUGAGAGAUGUUUGCCCGCUUAUGCCAGCAAUACAAUACCUUCAACAUUUCAAAGGUUAAAUUGCUUUUGCAUUCGAAUUUGUUGAAGCUAUAACUCACGACAUUUCGAUCGGGAGAAAUUUGCAUGAAUUAAGUGGUUAAACAAAGUGAAGUAAAAGAUUUUGUGACAUGAAGCAACACUUUAUAGAUCAUCUUCAAGGCUGUUUGAAAUGCCAUCCACGUCAAAAGAUCCCAUCCACGUUAACAAAAAUCUCAUAAAAAUGAACGAAACUUAAGUGAGGUUACGUCUGAAAGUACCGUAUCUUGAAAAUGAUCAGUAAACAAUUCGGCAAAAGCCGAUUUGUUCCUUCGUCUAAAAAUGAUUUAUCUUUAUUGAGACUCCAGCAACUGCAUUACUUUUGCAAUAUUUUAUUAAGAACUUCGAGCUAGACCGUCAUCAUCACAUAAAAAUUAAAUUUAUUUUUACGGGUAACGAACUUAUUAUAAGAUUAUGACUCUGUAAAUAGAUAGGCGAUAAGGUGAAAAUUUCGUUAAAACCAACCAUGACAACUAGCUGUAAGGUUACUCUCAGAAAAAUGGGGAAAUUCAGUGACGACAAUAUAAAAUAUGAAAAAUUGAAAAUGUAUCACGAUUAGUCAAAACGAAUUAAAUUUUGAGAAUCUAAGCAGGGACUCACGUAUACAAUAAGUUAAAACAAAAAUAUUUAAUGUUCUAUGCGUCCAUCCAUCAUAGUGAUUCUGAAUCCAGUUUUAUGAUGAAAUACCAACGCACCUACUAGUGCUGGAAAUCAAUUU